ACAGCGUGGUAUUUUUUGAGCAGAUGGUGUUACUUUUGUAUGGGGGGACCCUAGAGGAUGCUGUGUAUCGCAGAGAAUCCCCCCAACCACACUGCAGCCCUCUGAGAACAAACUGAAAAGACUUGUGAAGCAGUCUCAGUGACCAAGGCCGCCCAAGCAGCAGUUCGCCGAACGAACAAGUCUGAAAGCUCACAGCCACCACCGUGAGCAGCCCCUAUCAUCUAGAGGCCAGAGCGCCAGGAUGAAAUCCAGGGCCCCGCACCCGCUAGGUGGCGCUCCCUGCUGAGCCACACCCCAUCCCACACCCUCCCAUUUUAAUGGACGCAGAGUAGCCGCACGGAUCUGUAGGUGCAGCAUGGCAUCGAGGCACAGGAAAACAAGUCCACCCUGGAGCAUUUAGUGAGUGAGCUGGGGCUCGGCCUGCUGGAAAUCUCAGCCCCUGGCGGUGCCCCGACAUUUGCCGGCAGGGUGUCCCCUGCCUGGACAGCCUCAAGACUGGCCUGCCCACAGGCAUCUGCUGCCAGGAGCCCCAGGUUGGGAGGACAGCGUGGUGCCUGGGCCCUGCACCCUUUCUCUUCCCUAGAGAACUACAUCCCAGCCAC